CUACUUACUUGCUGUGCUUCUCUGAGUGCCUCGUGGCCUCUUUAUCACCACCUGUUGAAGGAAAUGUUAGAUCCAGAUAUGGAUGGAAGGUAUUAUGUGACACGGGAACUUUCAGAAAAUGAAGACCCAAAGGAACAGGAGAUCUGUGGAUUUUCAUGGACAGUCAUCUGUGGAUUUUCAAGGACAGUCAUGCAGAAGCAUACUUGGAGAACAGGGAUUAUCUUGAGGUUCUAGGGGCUAAGUGCAUGUUUGAGUGAAAGCUGUAAGAGAGCUAAUGAGCACAGAAUCUAGAAAAAAAAAUAGGCAUCCAGGUAUACACACAGCUGCAUCGUGUCACUGCAAGCGGCUCCCAGAGUUGUUCCUGUUCAUCCAGGAAGAAAGAAAAUCCCGCCAAAGAUUGAGAGAGAUCAAUAAAUGUAUUUCCAAAGAACCUGAAAGAAGAUGUUUCCAUUUGGCUGUCUUACCCUCUAUCCAAGCUCAGAGGGAAAUGCAUUCAAGAACGUUAACGGCCAGCACAAAUUCCAUUCCAAGCCAUGGAGCGGGAAGGGCACAUGAUACCAAGUGUCCCACCAGACGGCCAUCUUGCUAACUAAUACACCUCGGGAUUACAUUUGCAUUUACACAAAAUGUGAGCUUUGGGAGCCAGACGUAUUAUUUUGGUUAAUAGUUUGGCACGUUCUCAGCUUGGAAGCCUGAGCAUAUGUGAUGGGUCAGUAACACAAUAAAAGUAACGGGGAAGCAUUUCUUUCCCCAGUGGUGAAUUUCUACCCUAUUCAGGAAACAGACUUCCCAACUCAGCCAUUACAGCUGUCUGGAUCGUUCAUACCAUUUGCUGUUAAAUAUACCCAAGUAGGAAAAACAGUGUCUUUGUAUUUGCUGUUAAAUGUAAUCAGAGACAAUCUUUACGGUCAUUCGGGAUCAUUACUAUCAGCAUAAUUACUGCUUUAGAGAACAAUAAUCAUACAUAUGUGUGGUAUAGAUAUGCGGGGAGUCCAAUGCAGAAAUGCAGAAGAGACAAAAGUGCCUGUUAAUAUUUUACGAAAGCUGUAAUUUUAUUGAAAAUUAACUAAUUUACCUAAAGGAACAACUUCGUAUAGGAUUUUUUAGCUCAAUGUGUUCAACAAAGUAGAAAAAAUUACAGGGGGGAAAAGAAACCCUUACCCAGUACAUUGAUGCCUGACAUGACGUGAUUAGAAGUAAUCUAUAUUUUGCAAGUUUAAGAACUAUCUCUAGUUAAGAUGUAAUACCUUUAUAUGAGAAUGUGCAGCGACUCCUCGAGUCAAUAACUGUGUAA
ensembl:lncRNA LINC02275 long intergenic non-protein coding RNA 2275